UCCCUGGUGGCCUACUGGUUAAGGACUCAGCAUUGUCACUGCUGUGGCUUUGGUUCGAUCUCUGGCCUGGGAA
rnacentral:tRNA from 1 species